GAGAAGAACGUAGUGAAAUGCGAUAAGUAAUGUGAAUUGCAGAAUUCAGUGAAUCAUCGAAUCUUUGAACGCACAUUGCGCCCAUUAGUAUUCUAGUGGGCAUGCCUGUUCGAGCGUCAUUAAUUCCACUUAAGCCCUGCUUAGUGUUGGGAAUCUACUCUAGUGGUGCUACCCUGGAGCUACCCCUGAAAGGGGGCUGGCCCGGUAGCUACCCUGUAGUUCCUCAAAGAUAGUGCGCGGAGUUGCGUGGUCCUCUGAGCUUAGUAACUAUACACCUAGCUUUUGAGUGUCCCUCGGCGCCUGCCGUUUAAACCCCAUCUUUUAAUGGUUGACCUCGGAUCAGGUAGGAAUACCCGCUGAACUUAAGCAUAUCAAUAAGCGGAGGA
rnacentral:misc_RNA from 1 species